CCUGCGUUGGUGGGCGCGCCGCGGGCUCUAAAAGCUCGACUGUCGGCCGGGCGCUGUGGCGCACGCCUGUAAUCCCAGCACUUUGGGAGGGCAAGGUGAUGUUGGACGUGACAGAGGAGGUGACAGGUCACCCUGAGUGCGGGACUCCGUGUCCAGAAGGAAGUGGGCCUCCAGGUGCCACGCCUUUGCUUCUGCUGUGGCAUCUGAUGAGUUCCCUGUUCAUCUCUCCAGGCAUUCCCAGGGCAGUCAGCCCUGAUGCCCAGGGGCUAGGCUUGCAAGACCGCGCAUUAGGUUCGCAGAGCUAGAGUGCAAGGCCAGACCUGGUACCAACAGCAUCUCCGCCUUCGUCCUCAUCUGGUUCCCGCCUCAAACCUGUACCUGUGCGGAGGAGCCUGGAAGAAGAACUAAAACUAUAGUUCCAGCUACUUCAGAGGCUAAGGUGGGAAGAUGGCUU
rnacentral:lncRNA from 1 species